UAGCUUCUUUCUUUUACGUGUAGGUAAUUUGUUGGUGCUGGAUAUCAAAUGAUUUCAUCAGACAUUUCUGCAUGCUUAGAUACUUCCAUGGUUCAAGAGAUCAUGGGAAAAGGGAACAGAUAAAAGCCAAAAAAAUCAAACAUAGGCUCUAAAAAGGUUCGAUGGCUGGAUGAAACUAGCUGUGUUCGUUGAUCACAGCUGACGGGUCAACAGCAGCGUCUGUGCGUCUCUCUCACCUCCAGGAUGGAGGGGCUGCUGCGGCUGCGUCUACCCGGAGCUUGAGGAGCCUUCCUGGGCUUCGUCUGUGUCAUCUUCCCCCUGUAUCUCUCUGCCCUAGUCCCCCUAUACUCAUCCAUCACUCGACCUCUGCAGUACAAGAGAGCAUCUGGACCCACACAACACCUUCCCCUAAUCCCCCACACUGAGUUGCCAGGGAAACCAUGGACGGACUACGCCUGCCACCGGUCAUCGAGGAGGUCAUGGACCCUGCAGAUGACAUAUGUGACCUGAAGGUGGAGAGGCCUGGCAUUGUGGACAUGCGGACGGCCAAAGAGAGGGAGACCCUGGAGGAGAACGAUGAGAAGCAGGAGAAAGGGAAGGAGGUGGAGGUGGGGAACGGAGAGAAGGGCCAGCAGGAGGACCAGGGAGAGGAGAAGGAGGUGAAAGUGGAGGAGGAGGAGGAGGUGGAAGGAGGAAUGUUAGAGGAGGAUGACUUGGAGGAGUUGAAGUCCCAGGUGUUGCAGCUGGUGUUGGAGCUGGAGGAGGCCAGGGAGGUGUCUCAACAACAUGAAGAGAGCUUCAUGGAGAUCCAGGGUCUGUUGGAAGAUGAGCGUCUGGCUAGUGCUCACCAGGCAGAGAGCUUUACCAGACAGAUCCAGAGACUGCAAGCUCAGCUGCGUUCGGUCCAGGAGGAGAUGGACUCUCUGGAGGAGGAGAAGGAGAGUGAGCUGGGGGAGGUGCAGGAGGAGCUGAGGUCUGCCCAGGAGGAGGUACUGGUUUUGCAGCAGGCGGGGGAGGAGACAGCAGCGGAGAGGGAGAACGACAUCGCCUCCCUGCAGGAGGAGCUGUGUCGUCUGAGGGCCGAGCUGCAGCGUCUCCGUACCACGGCCCAAGAGUACGAGCAGGAGAUCACCACCCUGCGGGCUGAAAUCAGUAUGAAGAGCAUGAGGAGGGAGGGAGAGACUGACGGUGAGGUAAGCCAGCUGACGGCGGAGUGUCAUGCGAUUUCAGACGAGUGUCAGACCCUGAAGGAUGAAAACAAACAGCUGAGCCACAAACUGCAGCAGCUACAGCAGCAGCGAGCCGGCUCCAAUGAUUUCUAUCUGGCCUUGAGAGGGGAGGGGGACGAAGACCAGAAGGAUGAGGGUGUUGGGCAGGAUGAGGAAUCAGUGAAAGCUGGAGGCUACAUGACCCUGUCCCAGACCCAGGGUGGGCAGACCCAGGGUGGGCAGACCCAGACUGGGAAAGGUGGGCGCUUGGUGGAUGCCUCCAUCCAGAAGAAUAUCUCGUUUGAUGGCAAGCCCAUCACCAACUGGAACGGGGGACCCUCUGAAGUCUUCUCCCUACGAGACCAGCUCAAACUGACUGAGGAGAGGUCCUCGCAAGUACAGAGACAAUGUGAAGGGUUGAAGGGGGAGCUUGCGGAACUUCAGGGGCUGUUUGACUGCAGCCAGAAGGAGAGGGCGGAGCUGGAGCAGGAACUGCAUCACUGCAGGGUGGAGCUAGAGAGGCUGGGCGGCAGGAAGUCACAGAACUGCACUCCUCCGUCUGAGCCCCCUGUUCUCUCCAUCUCCUUCAUAGGAAUGAUUGUAAUAAUGGCCCUGAUAUGGUGCUGGUGGGAGGAGCUGGCGUCCUAGAGGGGACCAGCUAAUAACACCACUCAAGUCUUCUCUCUUCUCACAAAAGAGUGUGUAGGAGAGCGAGGGAGGCUGGAACCUGGUGGCGGCGGUUGCAGUGGCAGCGCUUGUAGUCCUGAUAGUCCCCAGCCUUUCCAGAGCGUUUACCUGAGGACUACACAGAACGGAAGUCACUGUACAGGAAAUGACUGUGCUGGUUUCCCCUGGCAACAUGGGCAAUGCCAUGCCCCUAUCUCAUGAUGCCCUUAUCAAGUCUCCUCCUAGCUUCAUCUUCCAAGGAGGACUGCAUUGACAACUGACAUUUUCACCAGGAAAUACAACACAACAAGAAAGUAGUCUCAAGGAGAAAUACGUAUACCUGUUUAAGCCACUCUAAAGAUAAGGACGGCAAUAUCUUGUUUCUCUCUUUAAAGUCCUUCAGUUUGACUCAAUCGAUUUCUCUAUAACAGGGACUGCCUCCGAGUUUGUGGCAGUACGGUGUCUGCAUGGGUGUCAAUGGAAAGACACAAUUUAGCACAGAACAUGUCUGCGCAUUUAUUGAUUGAUCGGUUGAGGGUUUAUUAUUUGAUUGGUUGAUGGUUGAUUGGUUUAUUGACAACCUGUAAAGGUUGAAUUGGGAAAAGCUCAUGCACAUAUUGAGUCACUGAUGAGAUUUGUCUCUUUCCAAUGGGCAUGUGAUCUUUCCCCAGAACCUACCCCUCCUUUUGAAUCACUUUGACCAUUGCCACUGCAAUUGUCUCCGCUACACCUGUAACACCUGUCCUUCUGUUUAUGUUGUGGCAUGCUCUUUUUACGUUUUAAAUGAAGAUGUGUGGAGGAGGGUUUGAUUAUAUGAGUUUGUUGUAUUGGA